GACUCCAGAGCCUCCAGCUCAUUGCGCUGUUCUUCGCUGUAAUCCGUCAUGGUUAGCGGGCCAUUGACCGAGAUGUGAACAGGAAGGGAACAGGAAGUACAG